GGAAGGAAACAAAGCUUAAGGCAGUGAUUGAUAGGUUAUUUCUUGGACACAGCUGAACGUAUACUGUGCGCCUGCAACUUUCCGGUGGUUUCGGACCGGACUUCAGUGAAGCCAGUGAAGUCGGUCGACUUGCAGAACUUCCUUUCAGAGGGGCGUACACAGCACCGCGGCCGUGUGCCUGUGAUCUCCUUCUGAGUUUGAAAAAGAAGAUCCUAGACACCGAGCCAAAUAUGUUUGCAUAAACCGGGAGACUUGUGGCUCUAUUUUGUAACAGCUUGGCGCAGGGCAGCUGGUUUGGAGAUGUCUCUGUUCUUCCCUUGGUGGGGGUGCCGGAAAAAAUGUGCUGCCUGGGCGAUCGAGGUUGGGGCAAAAGCGUUGCAAAGGAAAAGGUGGGAGGACUCUACUUUCACAUUUCCCAAAAGAGUUUUACCAUAAGACUAUUUCUGGAUUGUUCUAACGUGAGGAUAUUGGGAGCAUUUUGAAAAUACUGGAGGAAAAGCUGUCACUGGGCGAUUUAAAUCCGAGACAGAUUCACUCUGUCAUCCAAGCU
rnacentral:lncRNA from 1 species